CGUCUAUAUACGUAUGCAUAUCAAUAAGCGGAGGAAAAGAAACUAACAUAGGAUUCCCUUAGUAACGGCGAGUGAAGCGGGAAGAGCUCAAAUUUGAAAUCUUCAAGGUUCUACCUUGACGAAUUGUAGUUUAAAGAAGUGUUUUCUGUUGAAGUUUUGGUAAAAGUUCUUUGGAAUAGGACAUCAUAGAGGGUGAGAAUCCCGUAUUUGACCAUUAUUUCCAACUUUGUGAUACACUUUCAAAGAGUCGGAUUGUUUGGGAAUGCAGUCCAAAAUGGGUGGUAAAUUUCAUCUAAAGCUAAAUACUGGCGAGAGACCGAUAGCGAACAAGUACCGUGAGGGAAAGAUGAAAAGAACUUUGAAAAGAGAGUUAAACAGUACGUGAAAUUGUCAAAAGGGAAGCGUUUGACACCAGUGUUGUUUUCUCAAAAAUCAAUUAAAAAUGGCGGGAUUUUGUGUUGUAUUGACUUUAUCAGCUUUCUGCACUUUUUUCCUGUCUUUUUUAAUGCACUUUUCGUUUAACAAGUCAACAUCAAUUUCUUUUGUUGUAAAAGGGUCAUUGGAAGGUGGCUUUCUUUUCGGAGAAAGUGUUUACAGCCUUUGACUUCUGCAAUCGGAGAGAUUGAGGUCUGCAGCGUAGAUCCUUCGGGGUUAGAUGCAUUUGUGCUAAGUUAUAGCCUUUCAUAGACAACUUGUUGACUAUGAUCAGUCAUGUAGCUUACUCGCUUAUGUCAUUUUACCUACGCUUAGGAUGUUGACGAUCAGCUGAGCGCG
rnacentral:rRNA from 1 species